UCCCAUUCUCCCAAAACCCUUCAUAUUUGGCAAGCAUCAUCUACCCUUUCUAAGUCUCACUUUUAAGAAAACAUGAAGAUGGGAUUAUUCCCUUAUAUUGUGAAGAUAUCUAUGGAGUGAUUCAUGGCUUUUGUGAAGUUCGAAAUUUGGCACGGAUGGUUCACCUGCGCACGGCCUCUGCAGAGUCCAUAUUACCAAACGGAUCUAUUUUGAAGUUUCUCUUUAUAAACAACACUUGGGUUGUUUUGGGAACUCACCUCUGGCAUCACAACUACUGAAUACACAUACUUAUCAUAUUAUUAUUCAUUGUUCAAAUCUAUUCUUAGCAAGAGAGCAAAUUUGUAGUGAGGAAACUAUUUAGUGAAAUAGUGAGAGCCUACAAUUUGUAAUUGUGCAAUCAUACUAGUGAGUGUGAUUAUUGGGUGUAAACAAACUCUAGUGGUUAGAGUUGGGUGAUUCUUGAAGUGUCAAGAAUUGGGUUUCAUCCUAGUGACUAUGAGUUGUUGAUAUCUUGAAGUGUCAAGUUGUAUAAUCGGACUCUCCACCGGAUUUGGAGUUCAUAGUGCUACAAAUCUCGAUUAGUGAAUCGAGGAGUAGAUUAAGGCGAAUUCGUUAACAUUCGCCCCAACCACUAUACAUCGUUGUGUUCUUGUGUAGUGAAGUAUUUCUUUCCUUAUACUUUUACAUUUAUAUGUUUGUGUAUGGUAUUAGUUACAAAGUACUUGUCUUGCACAAAUUAAGUCUCAAACAUUGUUUUUAAUCUUAACAUUUCAAAAAGAAGUUAAAUAAUUGGUAUAAUCUAUUCACCCCUCUAGAUUACACUUACAGUUUUGCUCCAUUUUGUUGCGAUUUAAUAAUAACUGAUCUCAUUGUUGUUUGAUUUUAUUGUUUACUUUUUAGCGCUUAUAUAUGGAUAUGUGAGAGAGUCAUGAUUUCGGAUGUAAAUCUCUAAUUGCUAUGGAAGAUCUUGAGAUAGUUGAAACAUGAUAAUAUUAUGUUGCUAUGAUUGAUAAUGUUAUCUUGGAAUUAUCGCUAAGUCAGGUGGCUAUGAUACUGCUAAUAUUUUGUCUUCCAUGAACUUCGAAAUGAAGAGCUAAGACUAUCGACGUGAAUGAUCUUAAAAGAAGGCGUGAAGGGAUGUUUCAAGAACUUAUGGAAGAAAUGAAUGAGCAAAUCAGAGUGGUUGAACAACAUAUGAAGGAACUCAAUAAUACUAUUAAAGACAUUCUUACUUUGAGUACUUUGAAAGAUGUUAUGGAUAAUAUCUACUAUAAGUAAUG